AUGGCGGCGGCAGCAGCAGCAGCAGGGUCUAGAAUCAACUGCUUCUUAAACCCCAUAAACCCUCUCAACUCCAAAACCACCACCCGUCUCACCACCCACCUCCACUUCAGUCUCUCCAAAAAAACACCACCCACCUUCUCCACCCGCGCCUCCAGUGACCCUUUUGUCCUCACCACUCCUCUUUAUUACGUCAACGCCCCUCCCCACAUGGGCAGCGCCUACACCACCAUCGCCGCCGACGCCAUUGCUUGCUUCCAGAGGCUGCUCGGCAAGAGAGUCAUUUUCAUCACCGGGACUGACGAGCACGGUGAAAAGAUUGCUACCGCUGCCGCAGCUAAUAACUCCUCCCCUGCCCAAGACUGCGACCUCAUUUCAGUCCUACAUAACUCUCUGGAAAAAUUUAGAUAUAGGGUAUGACAAGUUCAUUCGGACAACUGAUCCCAAGCAGGCAAGCAUGAAGCUGUGAAGGAGUUUUACUCUAGGGUACUAGACAAUGGUGACAUUUAUAGAGCUGAUUAUGAGGGACUUUAUUGUAUCAGCUGUGAAGAGUAUCUAUCAAUUGAUGAGAAAGAACUGCUUGAGAAUAACUGUUGCCCCACGCAUCUAAAGCCGUGUGUUGCACGGAAAGAGGAUAAUUUCUUUUUUGCAUUGUCCAAGUAUCAGAAACCACUAGAAGAAACUUUGGCGAAGAAUCCUAAUUUUGUGCAGCCUUCAUACCGUCUUAAUGAGGUGCAAAGUUGGAUUAAAAGCGGCCUACGAGACUUUUCCAUAUAUGACAGCAAGCAAACCAUAUAUGUUUGGUUUGAUGCUCUAUUGGGGUAUAUAUCAGCACUCUCAGAUGAUAUGGAGCAACCUAGUUUAGGAAGAGCCGUUUCAUCAGGAUGGCCUGCCUCUCUACACUUGAUUGGCAAGGAUAUUUUACGUUUUCAUGCAGUGUACUGGCCAGCUAUGCUAAUGUCUGCUGGACUGGGCCUUCCUAAGAUGGUGUUUGGCCAUGGGUUCUUGACAAAGGAUGGUAUGAAGAUGGGGAAAUCACUAGGGAAUACAAUUGAACCAAAUGAUUUGGUUCAUAAAUUCGGGUCUGAUGCGGUCAGGUACUUCUUCAUCAGGGAGGUGGAAUUUGGUAGUGAUGGGGAUUAUUCAGAAGAUCAUUUCAUCAAUAUUGUGAAUGCUCAUCUUGCCAAUUCAAUCGGAAAUCUGCUUAACCGCACUCUGGGCCUUCUUAAGAAGAACUGCCAAUCUACUUUGGUAAUUGAUUCAAGUACUGCAGCUGAAGGAACUACAUUCAAGGACACUGUGGAAAAGUUGGUUGAAAAAGCUCGGGUUGAUUAUGAAAACCUCUCACUAUCAUCAGCUUGUGAGGCUGUUCUUGAGAUCAGCAAUGCUGGAAAUUCAUACAUGGAUGGGUGUGCACCAUGGUCUCUCUUUAAGCAUGGGGGUGAUGCAAGUGAAGCUGCUGCAAAGGACCUUGUAAUAAUAUUAGAAGCAAUGCGGAUUAUAGCUAUUGCAUUAUCCCCUGUCACACCAAGUUUAAGUUGGAGAAUAUAUGGACAGCUUGGCUACUCAAAGGAUCAGUUUGAUGCUGCUAUCUGGAGUGACACCAAGUGGGGUGGGCUUAAAAGUGGUCAGGUCAUGGCUCAACCUCAACCAAUUUUUGCAAGAAUUGAAAGCCAGACAGAAGAAGAGAAGGGGGUCCAAGCACCGGAAGCACCCAAAAAGAUGAAAAAGAACAAGUUACCAAAGCCCCAACAGGUGGUUGAAGCUUAA